rnacentral:rRNA from 1 species
GCGCGAGAAAGUCCGCAAGGAUGAGUAAAGUGGCGCACGGGUGAGUGACACGUGGAUCAUCUACCUUCUAGUGGGGAAUACCCUUGGGAAACCGGGGAUAAUACCGCAUAAGCUCGAAAGAGGAAAGCAGCAAUGCGCUGGAAGAGGAGUCCGCGGCUGAUUAGCUAGUUGGCGGGGUAACGGCCCACCAAGGCGAAGAUCGGUAGCCGGCCUGAGAGGGCACACGGCCACACUGGCACUGAAACACGGGCCAGACUCCUACGGGAGGCAGCAGUGGGGAAUCUUGCACAAUGGGGGAAACCCUGAUGCAGCGACGCCGCGUGAGCGAUGAAGCCCUUCGGGGUGUAAAGCUCUUUCGACGGGAACGAUAAUGACGGUACCCGAAGAAGAAGCUGCGGCUAACUACGUGCCAGCAGCCGCGGUAAUACGUAGGCAGCGAGCGUUGUUCGGAAUUACUGGGCGUAAAGAGUGUGUAGGCGGUGCUGUAAGUCUGGUGUGAAAUCUCCCGGCUCAACUGGGAGGGUGCGCUAGAAACUGCAGUGCUUGAGUGUGGGAGAGGUAAGCGGAAUUCCUGGUGUAGCGGUGAAAUGCGUAGAUAUCAGGAGGAACACCUGUGGUGUAGACAGCUUACUGGACCACGACUGACGCUG